rnacentral:rRNA from 1 species
ACGCUAGCGGCGGAUGGGUGAGUAACACGUGGGCAAUCUGCCCUAAAGACUGGGAUACCACUUGGAAACAGGUGCUAAUACCGGAUAACAACAUGAAUCGCAUGAUUCAAGUUUGAAAGGCGGCGUAAGCUGUCACUUUAGGAUGAGCCCGCGGCGCAUUAGCUAGUUGGUGGGGUAAAGGCCUACCAAGGCAAUGAUGCGUAGCCGAGUUGAGAGACUGAUCGGCCACAUUGGGACUGAGACACGGCCCAAACUCCUACGGGAGGCAGCAGUAGGGAAUCUUCCACAAUGGACGCAAGUCUGAUGGAGCAACGCCGCGUGAGUGAAGAAGGUUUUCGGAUCGUAAAGCUCUGUUGUUGGUGAAGAAGGAUAGAGGCAGUAACUGGUCUUUAUUUGACGGUAAUCAACCAGAAAGUCACGGCUAACUACGUGCCAGCAGCCGCGGUAAUACGUAGGUGGCAAGCGUUGUCCGGAUUUAUUGGGCGUAAAGCGAGCGCAGGCGGAAUGAUAAGUCUGAUGUGAAAGCCCACGGCUCAACCGUGGAACUGCAUCGGAAACUGUCAUUCUUGAGUGCAGAAGAGGAGAGUGGAAUUCCAUGUGUAGCGGUGGAAUGCGUAGAUAUAUGGAAGAACACCAGUGGCGAAGGCGGCUCUCUGGUCUGCAACUGACGCUGAGGCUC